ensembl:lncRNA
AUCUAAUCUAGUUUGCCUGCCCUCUGAUCAUGCAGGUAACAUCAGUGGAUCAGUUCUCUAUAUGUUGUCAAGGGGGAAGGAUACUGACGAUCAAAAAACAAUGUACAGAAAUACUGAGAUUUUUUUUAAAGUACAUUUUUAAAAAGCACGAGUAAAAAACACUGACCAAGCUCUGUCCCACUCUCAAAAUAAUAUCACCCAGUAAUACACGUACAACACCGCUCAUUCAGCUCUCCUCUCCUUCUUUCCAGCUCAUCCUCCACUCUCACCCCAAUCUUGGUCAAGUUACCUUCAACCAUUGGCAAUGGCAUCAUCAAGUCCUUCUUCCCUUCUCCCCACCUGGGUUCUUAAUAUGACUGCCCCAUCUGGUGGCGGAGUGCUGGAACAACAACUCUUUUUUUCCGGGCCAGACUGGGGAGUUUCUCUUGAAUCCACAGGUAAAUUGUGGGAAAGUCAUUGGUUGGCCACACUCCAGGUGGCUGGGGGGAUCAAAUGCAGCUGGUUGGAUGGCAGCGGUGGGUACAGUUGGUAGCCCCCCUCAACUGGAGACUCUGAAACAGAAGAGACGGAAAGAGAGGAGUAGACACACUGUGAUCUUGGAAAUCAAAGCUCUUUACUAAAACGUACUUGUUUUAGUGAGUGAGAACGAUCAUAGUUUUAGUAAGUAAGACACUUGUUUUGCUGUUCCACUACAUGCCAUUCUAAUCUGUCGUGCUGUGAGCCACUGACCUGUGUGUUCCUCAGGCAGCAACAGGUGUCUUCUACAGGGGCAGGGUGGUCUGGCUGGGAGCCUCCUGACUUGUGUGUUCCUCAGGCAGCAACAGGUGUCUUCUACAGGGGCAGGGUGGUCUGGCUGGGAGCCUCCUGACCUGUGUUUUCCUCAGGCAGCAGCAGGUGUCUUCUACAGGGGCAGGGUGGUCUGGCUGGGAGCCUCCUGACCUGUGUGUUCCUCAGGCAGCAGCAGGUGUCUUCUACAGGGGCAGGGUGGUCUGGCUGGGAGCCUCCUGACCGGUGUGUUCCUCAGGCAGCAGCAGGUGUCUUCUACAGGGGCAGGGUGGUCUGGCUGGGAGCCUCCUGACC